UUGAGCGAUGGUUAAACAUUCAGGGAGUUGUAAAAGUGACCUGAAGUGGUGUUGAAUGAAAAGGCAUUGACUUCCCUCCGAGUCACCCCAAUCCAAACUCGCUUCCAGCAGUGACUCCUGCCUGAGGAGAGACAAAGGGCUUCUCCAGGAGCACAAAGGCCGUCGCUAAAACAAACAUCCUUACAAAUCCCUCCCUUUUUAUUCCUGAGAUCACACCAGCAAUUAGGGAAAAAUUAUCCCAGGCCAGACACAGAGGGCUCUGCCGUUUGCUGACUCGGGAACUCUUCUCCCCUGGGAACAGGAGAACUUUCAGAUCGUGUCAUCCCGCCCACAGAAGGAGAAAAAAAUCCCAACAAAAAUCCCCCAGGAAAGCGUAACCAGAGGUUUGAUAACACUGAGGGAGGGCUUGUGAUGUGGACAGCAAGGUUUGGGAUCCCUCCUCCCAUUGCGUUCUCGGGGCUAUCCCUCCAUCUUCCUGCACAUCCCACCGUGGCAGCCAGUGCCUGGCAUCUCCUGAAGCUUUCAGAAAAUCCUACGCAGGUUUCCCAGAUAGGAUAUUUCCUCACCAGUGCUGAGAAUAUCUUGGCAUGAAGACAGUGGGACAUGCUUUAGUCCAACAAUAAAUGAAUUUCCAG